AGGAGUCAUGGUCUUUGUUUAAGCAAAUGGCAUUCAAAAAUGUGGAAGGGUUGAAGAAUACACAUCGAGUCAAAAUUGGGGAGGAAAUUGCACAAAAGUGUGGAGUUCCUCUUGCCAUUAGGGCUGUAGGAAGCCUACUGUACUCCAAAGAAAAGAUGAUGAAUGGUUGUUUUUAAAAAAUAAUGAUUUGUCAAAAAUAGCUCAAGAAGAGGGUAUUAUUUUGCCUAUUCUAAAGUUAAGUUACGAUCAUCUUCCUUCGCAUUUGAAGGGAUGUUUUGCAUUUUGUUUCUUAUAUGUGAAAGAUGAAGAGAUUGAUAAGAGAGAAUUAAUCCAAUUGUGGAUUGCUCAUGGAUUCAUUCAGUCAGGUUAUGAAAAUCAACAAUUAGAGGAUGUAGGUAAUUUGUAUUUUAUGGAUUUACUGAGGAGAUCUCUUUUUCAAGAUGUUCAAAAAGAUGAAUGGGGUGAUAUAAGAAGUUACAAAAUGCAUGAUCUUGUCCACGACGUUGCAGAAUUUGUUGUGAGGCCCAAGAGUUCUGUAGUGAAUUCGAAUGCGAAAAAUAUUACUGACAGAACUCGUCACUUGUCAUUACAUUUAUCAGGGGAAAAUCCAACCCACUUGUUUAGAGCUCACAAAUUACGAACGCUGAGAAUGAAGGAUGCAAGCAGGUUUGGAAUGGAUCAAGUUUUUGAAAGGAUUGAUUCAACAUUUAAAAGGUUACGUGUGUUGGAUAUGCAGAAGAUGGAGGUGGUGCCUUGUAAUAUAAGCAUGAUGAAACAUUUGAGGUUUCUUAGUCUUAGUAAUAUUGAAAUUGAAAGCCUGCCAAGUUCUAUAACCAAGUUGAAAAAUUUGCAAACCUUAAAACUCUCCGAGUGUUGGCGGCUUAAACAAUUGCCUGAUUAGAUUAAAGAAUUGGUUAACCUUAGGCAUCUUGAGCUUCGCAAGUGUCGUGCCUUGACUGGAAUGCCGCAUGUUGACGUGUCUUGUGAGAAUUCAUAUGUGGGACUGUCGCAGAUGCAAACAUCUUCCACUAUUUGGGCAAGUUCCUUCUCUCCAAUUUAUGAGUCUUUGGAGUAUGGAAUCCAUGGAGUACAUGGAGGACAAGAGUAGUAGUAGUGGGAGUGGUAGUGAGGAUUCUCUGUGCUCUUCAUCUUCAUCCAGUGGGAGGAGCAGCACCAACACCAAUAUUCUUCCCAUCCCUCAAAACACUUCAACUCUCGUCUUUGCAUAAUCUGAAGGGAUGGUGGAGGAGCCAAGCAGAAGAAGAAGCAACAACAACUUUACAGGACCAACAACAACAACAUUUGAAGAAGCUCCCAUCAUUUCCUUCUCUUUCCCAAUUAUCCAUCCGAUAUUGCCCUAAUCUGGCAUCAAUGCCUAUUCUGCAACCAUGUCUUGAACAACUAUUUCUCUUUGACGUCAGCAAGAAGGUAGUAGAAGAAGAGUUAAAGAUGACAUUGGUGUCCCCAACCCCACCAACAGAUACACUGGCAACCUCUUCUUCAUCUUCUUCUUUGCUUUUUCCUCCUCUUUCCAAUUUAAAGUCUCUGUCUUUAUGGAGAAUUGAAGAUCUAGUUACUCUCCCAGAGGAGUAGUGCCUCACUUCACUUGAAAGCCUUCAAAUCCUGGACUGCCAGAAUUUGACAUCACUGCCUGAUGGGAUGCAUCUUCUCACUGCGUUACAAUAACUCACAAUUGGAUCAUGCACCCGUGAUUUAUAUGAUAGAUGCCAGAAAGAAACGGGGAAAGAUUGGCCUAAGAUUGCUCACAUCCCACGUGUUAAUAUAUGGUAGUGACAUACAUACAAGGAAGAAAUAGAUGUAGAAGCAGCUGCAAAGUAAUUGACCAAGGCUGUAGGGAUGCCCAUUAGCAGUCUAGACAAGAUUAUGUGUAACAGAGAUUCCGGAAAGAAUCAGGGGAAGACUGACCAAUGAUUGCUCACAUCCCAAAUGUUUCUGUUUCACGAUCGGGCUGACAUACAAGGGAACAUGUUCACAGGACUGGGUGGCCGAGUCAUUGCUUGAAACAAACAAGAUAGGCACAACUCAUUCUAUGAAUUGCAAUUACCAAAUAGAAGAAAGAGGGUGAAAGCAGCCAAAGGGCGAUUAUAAAAACCAUUGAGCAUGAGCAGCCACAAAGCAAUUGGCCAAGGAAGGAAGCAAGAGGGAAUAUGAGUUGUGAGCAUAUGUUUAGUGGUAACGGAGACAAGCUGUGUUACUGGGCAAUAACAAACAAGUCAAAGAUAUUAGAUUACUUGGGGACGGGAGGUAAUAUGUUCCUUAACACUUUCAGUGAUGGGUAGUGUGGAGCCAACCAAGGCCCAACUCCUGAAUUUUUUGGAGGGUAUUUUGGAAUUUCCGCACUUGUUAUGUUGCCUUGGUGUGAAGUCCAUCCGGCAAAGGCUAGAGAAGUGCAUCCAAACCCAACUAUGGUUAGUCAAGGACUGGAAUACUGUUUUGUGGCUCGAAUCUUCGUAAGUGUGCUCAGCAACAUUUCCUUGUUACUUUUAUUCACGUGGUGCACUUAAACUCUGGAGUUUGCUAAUGGUAACAAUAAUUCUUAAAUUGCCUUCAUUUUUCCGUCGUUUGACAAUUUUAGUGCUUAUUCACGCGGUCUUCCAUUAGUUAGGUCGUUAGCUAAUGCAAUAUGUGAGACAGUUUUUAGAAUAAGUUACCUUAUGAUGAAACUCAUUUGAUGAAUAAUGUUCCAUUACAACAACUUAGAAUUAAAUCACCCAUACGUUUCUAUAUAACUAUAACAGUAACAUUCAAGCUAAAUCCAUCAUUUAUGUUAUGAAUUCAUUGAUCACUGUAAAACUCCCAUCUUAUUCUUCUCUAUACUUGUUCAUUUUCGCUCUCUCUCUCUCUCUCUCUCUAUCGUCUUUUUCUUUUUUUUUUUUGAAGCUCAAUUGAUUUAUUUAUUUUGUGUGGGACAAUUACACAAAACUGGGUGGAUGAAUCAUUGCUAGAAACAGACAAAGAUUGCACAUUCCAUUCUACAAAUUGCAACUACAAGAAAAGUCAGAAUUUUCAGUUUCGGCCUGCGUUCUGGGAUAGCUUGAUCAGCACAUCAUUGAAUUAGUCUGCAGUCUGCUUCUUCUUCAUAUUCGUAUUGCUUAACCUCAAAGUUGAGAUCGUAUUAGAUUAAAUACUUUUAUCACUUUUUAUAUGUGAACCAGCUUAAGUGUGAAAUUCUUACAUUUUUCCUACCAUGUAACAUUAAAAAAAAAAAAUCCAACACAAUGAAAAAUGAACUAUCAUUCUCUUAA